AUUGAACGCUGGCGGCAGGCCUAACACAUGCAAGUCGAGCGGAUGACGGGAGCUUGCUCCUGGAUUCAGCGGCGGACGGGUGAGUAAUGCCUAGGAAUCUGCCUGGUAGGGGGGGACAACGUUUCGAAAGGAACGCUAAUACCGCAUACGUCCUACGGGAGAAAGCAGGGGACGUUCGGGCCUUGCGCUAUCAGAUGAGCCUAGGUCGGAUUAGCUUGUUGGUGAGGUAAUGGCUCACCAAGGCGACGAUCCGUAACUGGUCUGAGAGGAUGAUCAGUCACACUGGAACUGAGACACGGUCCAGACCCCUACGGGAGGCAGCAGUGGGGAAUAUUGGACAAUGGGCGAAAGCCUGAUCCAGCCAUGCCGCGUGUGUGAAGAAGGUCUUCGGAUUGUAAAGCACUUUAAGUUGGGAGGAAGGGUUGUAGAUUAAUACUCUGCAAUUUUGACGUUACCGACAGAAUAAGCACCGGCUAACUCUGUGCCAGCCGCCGCAGUAACAC
rnacentral:rRNA from 1 species